CCAGACUCCUACGGGAGGCAGCAGUGGGGAAUAUUGCACAAUGGGGGGAACCCUGAUGCAGCAAUGCCGCGUGAAGGAUGAAGGUUUUCGGAUUGUAAACUUCUUUUGUACGGGACGAAGAAAGUGACGGUACCGUAAGAAUAAGCCACGACUAACUACGUGCCAGCAGCCGCGGUCAUACGUAGGAUCCGAGCAUUAUCCGGAGUGACUGGGUGUAAAGAGUUGCGUAGGUGGCAUAAUAAGUAGCUAGUGAAAUCUGGUGGCUCAACCAUUCAGACUAUUAGCUAAACUGUUAAGCUCGAGACCGUUAGGGGUAACUGGAAUUUCUAGUGUAGGAGUGAAAUCCGUAGAUAUUAGAAAGAACACCAAUAGCGUAGGCAGGUUACUGGGACGGUUCUGACACUAAGGCACGAAAGCGUAGGGAGCAAACGGGAUUAGAUACCCGUGUA
rnacentral:rRNA from 1 species